rnacentral:rRNA from 1 species
ACUCAAAUGAAUUGACGGGGGCCCGCACAAGCGGUGGAACAUGUGGUUUAAUUCGAAGCAACGCGAAGAACCUUACCAGGGCUUGACAUCCAGAGAAUCUGUUUGAAAAGAUGGAGUGCCUUUCGGGGAACUCUGAGACAGGUGGUGCAUGGUUGUCGUCAGCUCGUGUCGUGAGAUGUUGGGUUAAGUCCCGCAACGAGCGCAACCCUCGUCGUUAGUUGCUGAUAGUGGUACACUACUAUUUAGCUCUCUAGCGAGACUGCCGGUGAUAAACCGGAGGAAGGUGGGGAUGACGUCAAAUCAUCAUGCCCCUUAUGCCCUGGGCUACACACGUGUUACAAUGGCCAAGACAACGAGCAGCCAGCCGGCGACGGUGAGCAAAUCUCUUAAACUUGGCCUCAGUUCGGAUCGUAGUCUGCAACUCGACUACGUGAAGUCGGAAUCGCUAGUAAACGCAGAUCAGCACGCUGCGUUGAAUACGUUCCCGGGCCUUGUACACACCGCCCGU